rnacentral:rRNA from 1 species
AUUGAACGCUGGCGGCAUGCCUUACACAUGCAAGUCGAACGGCAGCACGGGAGCAAUCCUGGUGGCGAGUGGCGAACGGGUGAGUAAUAUAUCGGAACGUGCCCGGUCGUGGGGGAUAACGUAGCGAAAGCUACGCUAAUACCGCAUACGAUCUACGGAUGAAAGCGGGGGAUCGCAAGACCUCGCGCGAUUGGAGCGGCCGAUAUCAGAUUAGGUAGUUGGUGAGGUAAAGGCUCACCAAGCCGACGAUCUGUAGCUGGUCUGAGAGGACGACCAGCCACACUGGGACUGAGACACGGCCCAGACUCCUACGGGAGGCAGCAGUGGGGAAUUUUGGACAAUGGGCGCAAGCCUGAUCCAGCAAUGCCGCGUGCAGGAUGAAGGCCUUCGGUUGUAAACUGCUUUGUUACGGAACGAAACGGACGAGGCUCUAAUACAGUUUGCUAAUGACGGUACCGUAAGAAUAAGCA